ensembl:misc_RNA Metazoa_SRP Metazoan signal recognition particle RNA
GCCAGGCAUGGUGGCGCAUGCCUGUAGUCCCAGCUACUUGGGAGGCUGAGGCAGGAGAAUUGCUUGAACCCAGGAGGCAGAGGUUGCAGUGAGCCGAAAUCAUGCCACUGCACUCCAGUCUGGGUGACAGAGCAAGACUCUGUCUCAA